ACGGGAGGCAGCAGUAGGGAAUAUUGGUCAAUGGGGGAAACCCUGAACCAGCGACGCCGCGUGAGUGAAGAAGUAUUUCGGUAUGUAAAGCUCUAUCAGCAGGGACGAUAAUGACGGUACCUGACUAAGAAGCCCCGGCUAACUACGUGCCAGCAGCCGCGGUAAUACGUAGGGGGCAAGCGUUAUCCGGAUUUACUGGGUGUAAAGGGAGCGUAGGUGGCCAUGCAAGUCAGAUGUGAAAACCCGGGGCUCAACCCCGUGGCUGCAUUUGAAACUGCGUGGCUGGAGUACAGGAGAGGUAAGCGGAAUUCCUAGUGGAGCGGUGAAAUGCGUAGAUAUUAGGAGGAACACCAGUGGCGAAGGCGGCUUACUGGACGAUUACUGACGCUGAGGCUCGAAAGCGUGGGGAGCAAACAGGAUUAGAUACCCUGGUA
rnacentral:rRNA from 1 species